rnacentral:miRNA from 1 species
AGGAGGCAGCGCUCUCGGGAC